GCCUGGGUGGCUCAGUCAGUUGAAUGUCUGACUUUGGCUCAGGUCAUGAUCUCAAGGUUUGUGGGUUCAAGCCCCACUUUGGGCU
rfam:Felis catus isolate Cinnamon breed Abyssinian chromosome A3, whole genome shotgun sequence.